rnacentral:misc_RNA from 1 species
CCAGAGUUGAAAAACUCCCAAACCCUUUGUAAAUUUACUUGUUCAGUUGCUUCGGCAGGCGGCCCCAGGGCGGGGCCCCCGGCCUGCUUAGGCAGGUGCCUGCCGAUAGCCCCCAAAACUCUUGAUUUUUAUGUUACGCUCUGAGUCUUACAAAAAUGAAUCA